rnacentral:tmRNA from 1 species
GGGGGCGAAAGGAUUCGACAGGGAUAGGAGUGGCAAGAGACGCAUACCGAGCUCCCGUAAGCUCGCUAAACAUGCGGGAAGAACAACAACUGGCAACACAGCAUAUGCCUUGGCUGCGUGAUGAACGCGGUCACGUCCCCUUUGCUUUUGCCCAAGGGGUAAAGGAUGGGCGUCGGUACUUGGGAUGAUCCUGCAACUUCGCUCUGGAGUUGGAGGAGAACUACUCACAGAGCUGGCUCUUCCGGUGCUUGCCUUAUGGAACCGGAAGUGUGAGAUUGACAUAAGGCUAAGUAUGUAGUGGCUUUUGCUUCUCCAUUUCUGGACGCGGGUUCGAUUCCCGCCGCCUCCAUUU